UUAUGGCUCAGAACGAACGCUGGCGGCGCGUCUUAAGCAUGCAAGUCGAACGGCAAGAGGUAGCAAUACCUCCUAGAGUGGCGGACUGGUGAGUAACACGUGGGUGACAUACCCUUCAGAUGGGGAUAGCUAUUAGAAAUAGUAGAUAAUACCGAAUACGAGCACAGGGGUUAGAGAUCUGUGAGGAAAGGAGCUAAGGCUCCGCUGAAGGAAUGGCCUGCGGCCCAUUAGCUAGUUGGUGAGGUAAGAGCCCACCAAGGCGAUGAUGGGUAUCCGGCCUUAGAGGGUGAACGGACACAUUGGGACUGAGAUACGGCCCAGACUCCUACGGGAGGCAGCAGCUAAGAAUAUUCCGCAAUGGACGAAAGUCUGACGGAGCGACGCCGCCGUGGAUGAAGAAGGCCGGAAGGUUGUAAAAUCCUUUUGAAACUGAAGAAUAAGCGUUGUAGGGAAUGACAGCGUGGUGACAGUAGGUUUUGAAUAAGCAACGGCUAAUUACGUGCCAGCCGCCGC
rnacentral:rRNA from 1 species